CGCUUUAGCUCAGUUGGCCAGAGCAUCGCACUUGUAAUGCGAGGGUCAUCGGUUCGAAUCCGAUAAGC
rnacentral:tRNA from 1 species